rnacentral:rRNA from 1 species
UGUGUAAGCGCUGUGAGGCGUUGAGCUAACCAAUACUAAUUGCCCGUGAGGCUUGACCAUAUAACACCCAAGCA